rnacentral:lncRNA from 1 species
UGUGAUUCUCCAGGACAAGAAACAUCCUGGGAGAAGAAACAUCUGCUCAGUUCCUCAUUGUUCUUGGACUGACUAACAUCUUGUUUGCCAGAGAUGUACUGAACUUUCUGCAAGUCAUCUGUUACAUUUGUUUCUCCAGAUGUACUGAAUAAAAGGAGACCAGGACUAACUGCAGAGGUUCUGGUAACGUCCCCUUCCCCUGUCCCCUACAUUUGGCACCCAACGUGGAUAUGAAUCGGAUCCAGGGGUGAACUCGCCUGUGAGACAAACUUGGAGUAAGAGAGACAGCACAUGGAUCUCCCAGGACGAUUUCCGGACUAGGACGAGGGACACCGGUGAUAAUGAAAACAUCUUGUGGCUGUCCUCCUGGAAUGUGAGACUGUGGGUCACGCUGGUGGAACUGCCAACAUCUCACAGAAUCAGUGAUAGCACCCUGGCUGAAAGCGAUGAGCCAGCUGCACCUCAGGGACCCACCUCACCAGCGACAACCAACAAAUCCAUGGCAGGGUCCAGGACUGAGAUGAUGCCCCCAGAGGAAUGAUAAUUAUACAUUUAUGGUAAAAAAUUUAUGAAGGUGGGGGACAACUUCAAAAUGCUCCUUUUAUAUUUACAGGUAUAAAAGCACUUUCAUUCCUUCUGAUUCUAAUCUCGAGAUCUCUGUUAAUUGACUAUUCCAAAGUUUUUGACCAGUCAUACAAUUAUAAAUCUAAUAAUCAUAAAAAGGAUAUUACGAUUCAAUUUGGCUAAAUAUAUUUGAGUGCACUCUAAUUUUGUAAAUUGUCUUAUAU